rnacentral:lncRNA from 1 species
GCUGGUUAGAGAGGAGACUGUUUGAGGUGGAGGAGAAGUAACCAUCAAUAACAGAGUGAUAGGAAUACUUAACACACGGAGCUUGUGGGAGAAUUAAUGGAGAAAAUGUAGAUGUAUAAAGUUCUAGCCCAGUCCAUAACAGGUGCUGAACCAAUGUAGUUCAGGAGGCCCAUCCUCUCCCUCUCAACCAUGGUAUUCUCUCCUCCAGUUUCCUCUUUGUGGCAAAGCUGAACUCUGGACUUAGCAGGCUUCCCUAUGGUCAGUGUGCAUUUAGAGUCUGCCGAAGAUCAUGUACUCUCCACUAUGUCAAA